AAAAUUCUCGUGAACGGUACCGAAGCAAUUAGAAAGAAACUGAAAAUUACACAGGAAUCAACGCAUUAUCCGUGUACUCUAAUGUAAUUAAAGACUCGGCAGCGCUGUUGACCUGAAAAUCUCUGAAUUAUAGAAAAAUUAUUCCAAUUAGACACGCGAGGCACUGUUUCGUGUUUAACUCUUUGCUUUAUCUUAUCGAGUCACACUCUUCCUAUGAAUUAUGAAUUCUAACUUCUAAACGAUCCAAAUUAUUCUGACACUUUCGAAUUAAACGCUGUAAUUCCGCAACUGUAGUAAUUUGGCAACAUAACAAUCAAUAAAAAGUUAUUGCUGUCCUAAAAACUUCAAAUCUUCUGACGAGACGUAAGCACCCAAAUCUCAACUGACAGCGAUAAUUGCGAAUCGAAUCGAAUCGAAUCGACGUGUAGUCACUCGUAUUUUGCCAGUCCAAAUACAGGCCGGUCAUUAAAUCGAAAUCGAUGUUUCGGAAACGGAAGGUGUGGGCAAUGUGGCGCAAGUAUCAUGACCAAGUAGGAGGGGCGUGCGGCUUGUUGCGGCGUAGGUACGUCUUGACGCGCGAUCGGACCGGCCAUCAGUGACUCUUUCUCUGCCGGCAGCAUCCGAUCGUUCUGAGGUCUCGCUCUCGUCUGAGUCUCGCGGCUACGUGUGUGCUCGCGACCGAUUACCAAUCCCGUGAUCGAUUACCGAAUCCGUGAGCGAUUGUCGAACUCGCGACGUAUCAACCGGUCGCACUACAUGCGUGACCAACCGAACAGUUCUAUAUGUCAAGAAUCGAUCGUCGACACAUCGAUUUCCGGACCAAGAAAAUUCAGAAGAAAUUAAUAGGGGUGAAUCGUGGAUGUUUUAUUUGUUCGUAGUGACGUACUUGUGUGUGAAACAAGGAGGAUGUCUAACUACAAGGUUAUUUUUCGGGGUGCGAGAAUUUCCGGAUCGAGAGAAGAGAAAUAAUUUUGAUUAGUGAUUGAUUAAUUGAAGAACGUGCUUACGGAUAGUGGAGGUGGAUGUUCGUUGAGAGACGUCGUCGACCGUGCUGUUAAUAUUAUGGAUUUAUGCGCAUCUAUUUAAAGAACAGCAGAGUUGAUACAUAUUUAUAACCCAGAUGAUGUACUUAUGUAUAAAUGAGAGCAAAGGUACUCUCUUACUGACACUCACACCUUAUGAGAGCAGCUUACUAUUCUUCCAAAUCGACGUCUUACUAUGAAAUACUUCUUUCAAGUCAGAGUUUAAUGUUUCAAUAUUAUUCAACUAUAUCUUAUAGAGCAAAGUAUUUUCAAAUGUUAUA